rnacentral:lncRNA from 1 species
UGGUUAGUUGCUAUCAGAUGCCUGGUUGUGUCUUUAACUUUGACUUGGUUCCAUGACCUUGAGUCAUUGCUUCAUGGUUAGUGGAUGAUGGGUUGGACACCAACAUUUAAAUUCUUAUUUUGGGAUUAAAACCAAUCUUCAAAACUCCUUAGAACAUCUAGGGUCAAGGAGGUUGGAGUAUAAGAAACACAGAAGAGAAAACAGGCUGUUUUGACUCUUUUAGAGGG